AACGAACGCUGGCGGCAGGCUUAACACAUGCAAGUCGAACGCCCCGCAAGGGGAGUGGCGCACGGGUGAGGAACACGUGGGGAUCUGCCCUUCAGUUCGGAACAACACCGGGAAACUGGUGCUAAUACCGGAUAUAACUUUUGGUCUUGGCGACCGAUUGGGAAAGAUUUAUCGCUGAAGGAUGAACCCGCGUCUGGUUAGCUAGUUGGUUAGGUAACGGCUCACCAAGGCGAAGAUCAGUAGCUGGUCUGAGAGGACGAUCAGCCACACUGGAACAAAGACACGGUCCAGACUCCUACGGGAGGAAGCAGUGGGGAAUAUUGGACAAUGGGCGAAAGCCUGAUCCAGCCAUGCCGCGUGAGUGAUGAAGGCCUUCGGGUUGUAAAGCUCUUAUAGAUGGGAAGAUAAUGACGGUACCAUCAGAAUAAGCCCCGGCUAACUUCGUGCCAGCCGCCGCAGUAA
rnacentral:rRNA from 1 species